rnacentral:lncRNA from 1 species
AAUGUGACACUCAAGUAUGAAAUCAAGAAGCUCAUCUACAUGCAUUUCCUAUCAGUUGCCAAGAGGAGCAUGGGACACUCGAGGUAAUUGUGAAAUUAUCAGUUGGCUAUGCCCUACCACUGGGAAUAUCAAUAUUUGUUGAUCAUUGUGCCCUCUAUUUUGGGCCUUCUCUCCUUCCUUCAAAAUAAUAUUAGCUUCCUUGUGGUCUCCAUGAUCAGAUCAGCAUGGGGUUCUUUUCUAUCCAUACCCUCAUUGAUGGCAACACAGAGAUGUGCCCUGCCACACAGCAACUCUACCAUCAUGGCAACGCCUGCCACUUCAUGUUUGGUUUUUCUGUUGUCUCUGUUAUAUACCUGGUGUUUGUACUGACAAUCCAAGUUUGUGUCUGGCAAUUGUACUACAGCAAGAAACUCUUUAUCUCUUGGUUCACCAGCACACAAGAGAAGAAGUAUAGAUGAAGCCUGUUUGAUG